rnacentral:rRNA from 1 species
CGUAAGGACACGUGGAGCGCUUAGAAGUGUGAAUGCCUGUGUGAGUAGCGAAAUACGGGCGAGAAUCUCGUCAACCGAUUGACUAAGGAUUCCAGAGGAAGGCUCGUACGCUCUGGUUUAGCCCGCUCCUAAGCUGAGACCGACAGGCGCAGGCGAUGGACAACAGGUUGCUAUACCGUUACUAACAACAAUCGUUUUAAUCGAUGGGGG